UGGAGAGUUUGAUCCUGGCUCAGGACGAACGCUGGCGGCGUGCCUAAUACAUGCAAGUCGAACGCUUUUUCUUUCACCGGAGCUUGCUCCAYCGAAAGAAAAAGAGUGGCGAACGGGUGAGUAACACGUGGGUAACCUGCCCAUCAGAAGGGGAUAACACUUGGAAACAGGUGCUAAUACCGUAUAACACUAUUUUCCGCAUGGAAGAAAGUUGAAAGGCGCUUUUGCGUCACUGAUGGAUGGACCCGCGGUGCAUUAGCUAGUUGGUGAGGUAACGGCUCACCAAGGCAACGAUGCAUAGCCGACCUGAGAGGGUGAUCGGCCACACUGGGACUGAGACACGGCCCAGACUCCUACGGGAGGCAGCAGUAGGGAAUCUUCGGCAAUGGACGAAAGUCUGACCGAGCAACGCCGCGUGAGUGAAGAAGGUUUUCGGAUCGUAAAACUCUGUUGUUAGAGAAGAACAAGGAUGAGAGUAAAAUGUUCAUCCCUUGACGGUAUCUAACCAGAAAGCCACGGCUAACUACGUGCCAGCAGCCGCGGUA
rnacentral:rRNA from 1 species